GGGCCGACCGACCGAUGGUCAAACUGUCAUAGAAGCCCUAGCUAUUUUUUCUCUUUAUUCCAAGAUAAAAUCUUAAUUCGUUUUCGCACUCCAAGUCUCGGCCUUUUUAGCAUUUGUAUGAUCCUUCUUUUCACGGAAGGCAAACAAACGCUCAGCCUCUUCAACAGACUUGCUCAACGUCAAGCCACUUUCAUCUCAAAAUCGUAUCUAUUUACGCACGAAAUAGCUUUUAUAAAAAUUUUCCAAAUCGUCAGUGAUUUUCCUUCCGAUUGAGAAUAGAAUUCCGUGCCAUAAAUAAAGGCCUGAUUCUUUUUCAUCUUUAUUUCACUACAACAAUGCCAAACCCAUUAGAGUGCUACCAAAAACUAGGCCUACAAGACUCUCUUUCAAAAAUCCACCGAUACCCAUUAGCUUGUAAAGAGCUGAGCUUCAUCCUUAAAAACGCUUACGCUAAAUUUCCCAAGAAUUUGCAGGCCCUCGUCUUUCAAGACACCCUCACCGCCUUCCGUUUCCUUCCUGGAAUGCAGACCUGCAAUGCUGUUUCUUCAGCUCAUCUACUCCUCCAUAGUGCCGAGGCUGCUUUGCCAAAGCAGAAGAGGAAUUUGGCUGUUACAGAAUUUAAGCAUGCAAUGGUCGCUCAUAAGAGGCGCAGCAAAACCCGCCAGGAAGAGAAAGACAAAGGUUGUUCUGCCCAGCUUCCACAAGAUGUUCUUGUGCAUGUCUUUAGUUUCCUUGAUGUGCAAUCUUUAGUUUCUGUUGGCCAAGUCUGCCGGUCGUGGAAUCUAGCAGCAACCGAUAACCAUAUAUGGAAGUUGCAAUAUGCAACAUUCUUUGGGAAUUAUGAUAACGGUCUGAAGACUAAUGGGUCGCAAAGUUGUAUAGGGGUAAAAGACAUUAAGGGUGCUUCAUUGCAGGAGGAAAUGGCUACUGGAACCAGCAUUGACUGGAGGGAAGCCUUUAAAAGAGCAUACAGAGAUGUUUUGAUACUUGCUCAUGGAUGUAUGCAUGUCUCGGAUGAUAAAUAUUGUCCAACACAAUCACUUGAGAAGCUUCUAAGAUAGUGCUUGAGGUUCAUCACUUGAGAAUAUGUGAACUAUCUGUUGGCCUGAAUUGGUUGUCGAAUACAUUCUGGGUGAAUCUUCAACAAGUAGUUCUUCUGAUAGCGAUGGUGAUUUAGAUGUGGAGUCCAGUUACUGGUUCUCGUUUUACUAAAGAAAUUAGUAAAUUAGUAAUUUAUAAUUUAUAAUUUAUAUUGACGAUACAUUAGUCAGAUGAAGAGUCCAUUUUUAGGUAUGGGCCUAUCCUACCCUUCCAUGUGCCAAAGCUCAGAACUAAAUUUAUAUCUACGAUGCCAAACUCUGUAUAUUCACUGAAAAAACAAAAAACAGAUACCAAACUCUAUGUUUCUUAUAUUCUGAUAGAAAUAGCCACUUUUCAGGUUGUGGCGUUAACUAUA